rnacentral:rRNA from 1 species
GUGCCAGCAGCCGCGGUAAUACAGAGGUGGCAAGCGUUGUUCGGAUUUACUGGGCGUAAAGGGUGCGUAGGCGGCCUUGUGUGUCAGGUGUGAAAUCCCACGGCUCACCCGUGGAAAUGCACUUGAAACUGCAGGGAUCGAGUUCAGGAGAGGUAAGCGGAAUUCUUGGUGUAGCAGUGAAAUGCGUAGAUAUCAAGAGGAACACCGGUGGCGAAGGCGGCUUACUGGACUGAUACUGACGCUGAGGCACGAAAGCCAGGGUAGCAAAAAGGAUUAGAUACCCUCGUAGUCC